rnacentral:rRNA from 1 species
GGCUCAGGAUGAACGCUAGCGGCAGGCCUAAUACAUGCAAGUCGAACGGGUGAAUUAGCUUCGGUUGGUUCACUAGUGGCGCACGGGUGAGUAACGCGUACGCAAUCUGCCCUAUGCUGGGGAAUAGCCCUGGGAAACUGGGAGUAAUACGCCAUAGUUCUACGGAUCUGCAUGGAUUUGUAGAUAAAGCUGCGGCGGCAUAGGAUGAGCGUGCGUCUGAUUAGGUAGUUGGUGAGGUAACGGCUCACCAAGCCGACGAUCAGUAAGGGGCGUGAGAGCGUGGCCCCUCACACGGGUACUGAGACACGGACCCGACUCCUACGGGAGGCAGCAGUAAGGAAUAUUGGACAAUGGGCGCAAGCCUGAUCCAGCCAUCCCGCGUGCUUGAUGAAGGCCCUCUGGGUUGUAAAGAGCUUUAGUCUGGGAAGAAACCGUUUUCUGCGGAAGACGCUGACGGUACCAGAAGAAUAAGCACCGGCUAACUCCGUG